UAGGGGGCAAGCGUUAUCCGGAUUUACUGGGUGUAAAGGGAGCGUAGACGGUUAUGCAAGUCUGAAGUGAAAUGCGGGGGCUCAACCCCUGAACUGCUUUGGAAACUGUAAAACUUGAGUGCAGGAGAGGUAAGUGGAAUUCCUAGUGUAGCGGUGAAAUGCGUAGAUAUUAGGAGGAACACCAGUGGCGAAGGCGGCUUACUGGACUGAAACUGACGUUGAGGCUCGAAAGCGUGGGGAGCAAAC
rnacentral:rRNA from 1 species